rnacentral:misc_RNA from 1 species
UACAGAGGUGACAAACGUUGUCCGGAAUCACUGGGCGUAAAGGGCACGUAGGCGGUUCGGUAAGUCAGAUGUGAAAUUUUCAGGCUCAACCUGGAAACUGCAUUUGAUACUGCCGAUCUUGAGUUUGGUAGAGGAGGGCGGAAUUCCUGGUGUAGCGGUGAAAUGCGUAGAUAUCAGGAGGAACACCGGUGGCGAAGGCGGCCCUCUGGUCCAAGACUGACGCUGAUGUGCGAAAGCGUGGGGAGCAAACAGG